GGGUCCAUAGCUCAGCGGUAGAGCAUCCGACUCGCAGAUCAAGAGGUCAUCGGCUCGAACCUGGUUGAGCCCU